rnacentral:rRNA from 1 species
UACGUAGGGGGCGAGCGUUGUCCGGAUUCAUUGGGCGUAAAGCGCGCGUAGGCGGCAGGGCAAGUCGGCCGUGAAAUCUCCCAGCUUAACUGGGAGGGGUCGGGCGAGACUGCCCCGCUAGAGGUGGGUAGAGGGCAGUGGAAUUCCGGGUGUAGUGGUGAAAUGCGUAGAGAUCGGCAGGAACACCCAGGGGGAAACCAGUCGACUGGGCAGCACCUGACGCUGAGGUGCGAGAGCGUGGGGAGCGAACCGG